UCAAUUUUAGGGACAUCCAGGGACAACCUCUCAAUUUAGGGAUAUUGAAGUAUAUAAAUUCAAUUUAGGGACACCAAGGGACAAAUACUCAAUUUCGCAUCGAAGGCACCACGACACAACUAUCUUCCUUAUUUCGCAUCGAAGGGGCAUCUUGGGACAUAUAUUCAAUUUUGGGACAUUGAGGGACAUAUUCAAUUUUGCAUCUAAGGUGCCAAGGGACUUCUCCACUUGCAUUCAUUGAGGUACAUAAACUCAAUAUAAGGACAUCUAGAGACAUAAACUCAAUUUAGGGACAUUGAGGGACAUAUACUCAAUUUCGCAUCAAAAGCACCAAGGCACACACACAACCAUCUUUCUUAUCAAGGGUCAUCUCAACUUGCAUUUCAAGUUAUGAAUAAAAUGUUCAUAUUCAAAUUGCAUUUAGACCAUAAAACAAGACUUCAUAGUACCAUCAAUUCACUUUAUCAAAUUUAGGAUCACAUGAUCCAAAUAUCAAAUUAUGUAUCCAAGAUCAUUCACCGUCAAU
rnacentral:lncRNA from 1 species